rnacentral:rRNA from 1 species
ACCAGACUCCUACGGGAGGCAGCAGUGGGGGAUAUUGCACAAUGGGGGGAACCCUGAUGCAGCGACGCCGCGUGGGUGAAGAAGCGCCUCGGCGCGUAAAGCCCUGUCAGCAGGGAAGAAAAUGACGGUACCUGAAGAAGAAGCCCCGGCUAACUAUGUGCCAGCAGCCGCGGUAAUACGUAGGGGGCAAGCGUUAUCCGGAUUUACUGGGUGUAAAGGGGGCGCAGACGGCGAUGCAAGCCAGGAGUGAAAGCCCGGGGCCCAACCCCGGGACUGCUCUUGGAACUGCGUGGCUGGAGUGCAGGAGGGGCAGGCGGAAUUCCUGGUGUAGCGGUGAAAUGCGUAGAUAUCAGGAGGAACACCGGUGGCGAAGGCGGCCUGCUGGACUGCAACUGACGUUGAGGCCCGAAAGCGUGGGGAGCAAACAGGAUUAGAUACCCUGGUAUC